AGUGAACGCUGGCGGUAGGCCUAACACAUGCAAGUCGAACGGCAGCACAGUAAGAGCUUGCUCUUACGGGUGGCGAGUGGCGGACGGGUGAGGAAUACAUCGGAAUCUACUUUUUCGUGGGGGAUAACGUAGGGAAACUUACGCUAAUACCGCAUACGACCUACGGGUGAAAGCAGGGGAUCUUCGGAUCUUGCGCGAUUGAAUGAGCCGAUGUCGGAUUAGUUAGUUGGUGGGGUAAAGGCCCACCAAGGCGACGAUCCGUAGCUGGUCUGAGAGGAUGAUGAUCUGCACCGGAACCUAGACACCAUCCAGGCUCCUACGGGAGGCAGCAGUGUGGGACAUUGGACAAUAGGCGCUAGCCUUGUCCAAGCCUACCGCGUAGGUGAGAUUGGCGUCCGGUGUGUAAAUACCUGGUUUUUUUAUGGAAAUUCAGUAGAUAAGGACCCCGCUGUUCUGAGGGUGGCCGGUGAAGAAGCACCGGCUAACUUCGUG
rnacentral:rRNA from 1 species